rnacentral:rRNA from 1 species
CAAGUCGAACGGUAGUAUAUCUUCGGAUAUAUGAGAGUGGCGAACGGGUGAGUAACACGUAAGAAUCUACCUUUGGGACGGGGAUAACUUCUGGAAACGGAUGCUAAUACCCGAUACGCUGUGGAGUGAAAGAAUUUCGCCCAAAGAUGAUCUUGCGUCUGAUUAGCUAGUUGGUAGGGUAAAGGCUCACCAAGGCAUCGAUCAGUAGCUGGUCUGAGAGGAUGAUCAGCCACACUGGGACUGAGACACGGCCCAGACUCC